UAAUGAAAAGGAAAAGGGAAGCGUACCAUUUCGAUUCGUGUCAGAAAAAGGAAACUUUCCAGUUUCCAACCACCGUACGUGGAGGCCAAGAAGGGGGCGCGUGAGUGCGUGCAAACUCCGGACGGAGGCACGAUAGCCCUCCAACAACUAACCCCAAGUCCUCGUUCAGAGGAUUCUUUUCUUUUUUUCUAAAACAGAGUGC
rnacentral:lncRNA from 1 species